ACAAUAUAAACUUCAGAAUCAGAGGAUAGCAGUCCAGAUCGACGGAACUCUGCAAGGAUCGCUCUCAGGAAGCUCUGUUCCAUGACGGAGGAAUUUCUUAAAGAAAAUGAAGACGUGAAUUAUCGAGUACCCAGCACAGGACCUCACACUGACAGAUGCUCAGCAAAGAAUUGUCGACUAUUUUGCUGCCCUGAGGAUGACUUA